rfam:Nicotiana sylvestris Nsyl_contig139058, whole genome shotgun sequence.
UGGACAGAUUAUUGUAUUCGACUGUAUUCAUGGCGUGAAACAGGGGACUACACUGUUUUUAAAUGGAAAGUGAAUCAAUUAAUAUAAUAGACUCCU